UAACUGAAGAGUUUGAUCAUGGCUCAGAUUGAACGCUGGCGGCAGGCUUAACACAUGCAAGUCGAGCGGGGGAARGUAGCUUGCUACCGGACCUAGCGGCGGACGGGUGAGUAAUGCUUAGGAAUCUGCCUAUUAGUGGGGGACAACAUCUCGAAAGGGAUGCUAAUACCGCAUACGUCCUACGGGAGAAAGCAGGGGAUCUUCGGACCUUGCGCUAAUAGAUGAGCCUAAGUCGGAUUAGCUAGUUGGUGGGGUAAAGGCCUACCAAGGCGACGAUCUGUAGCGGGUCUGAGAGGAUGAUCCGCCACACUGGGACUGAGACACGGCCCAGACUCCUACGGGAGGCAGCAGUGGGGAAUAUUGGACAAUGGGGG
rnacentral:rRNA from 1 species